ACACAAGCCAAACAGCGUUCCUGGUGCAGAGUGGAACCGGUAACAACAAGGCACAGUGAAAUGAAGGGGCAAUCAGCCAGGGCAGACUGAGACAACUGCAGCAGGAUUAAAGCCCCUGCUGUUACCGACUCCAGGAGGGGUAUAACCCAAACCCCGCUUAGGGAAAGCACAGCCCCAAUGAGCCCAACUUCCUGCAAGUCCAAACCAGACCUUAGAGGCAUGGAACAUGAAGCAUCUUAAUGCUGAAUGGCAUUGGGCGUGAGACAGGUCUUGUCAGAGAACUCAUCCGCUAACCAGAUCAUAAUUGCUGACAUUACAGAGGCUCAUCUUCCACAAAGUGAUCAAGUUACCAUGGAAGGAGCAACCUCCCUCUACUCCAGUGGUCUACACCAAACUCCAGGUGUGGCGCCUGUUGUUAGACGACCUCUAGCAUAGAUUUUAACCACAUCUCUCCACGCUUACUGUAUGAUUGCUUCCAACAUUGUGGUGGACACUUAAAAUUUGUUGUUGUGGUCUAUGCUCUGACAGAAGAUCUAGCUCCUGCAGAAAAGGACACAUUCUACCACCAGAUAGCAGAAAAAAUCCAGUCAACUCCAUCACAUGACACACUGCUGGCACUUGCAGCUUUCAAUGCUAUGAAUGGAUGCAAUCAAACUGGGUAUGAAACUCUAAGAGAUCCCUUUGGUUUGAGUUUCCCCAAUGACAACACCACUUGGCUUUUGACAUUCUGUGCCACUGAGGGCUUGUCUGUUAUGGGCUCCUGGCUUAGGAACUGUAAUAAUCAUUGCGGAAUCUGGAUUUAUAACAAUGGAUGUGGUGCAAAAGAAAUUGACUACAUCCUCAUCAGAAAUUGUUCCAUAGUAAAAUCUCACUGGGUCUUUGGUGAUACAGAUUCACCAGCAAACUCAAGCCAUAAACGAGUCAUUGCUCAGCUUUCAUAUCAUCUUCCAGCUCCUCACAAGCCAGAUGUCCACCAACAGUAUGAUAUCUAGCAUCUUUCAAAUGAUCCUGCUGAAGCUACACACAGGGCAUUGAGGAUCAUUGAUGUAACCUCAGAACCUUCUAGAACCACCUAGAGUGGCGUAUGUAACGUUGUAUUACAUGAUGCCACUGGAACUUUCAGCUUCAGAUGAAUGUGCAAGAAACCUCUUUCUGAAGAGACCCUUAAUAUGUCAGUAAAAAAGGCAGAAGCAUACAGGCAGGCAUAUGUCCAAGAACAUAAACUGAUGAAAGGUGUCUUCCAGGACAUGGCAAAAUGUGACUGUGAUGCAUCAAUUCCCUGGCCAAUGAAUCAGAGGACAGCCUAAAGGACAACAAUCUGCAUCCUUCCUACAAAGCCACCGUGUGCCUGGUCUGGAAGCUAUAAACAGCUUUUCAACGUCCCCAUCACACAAGCAAACAGCUCUCCCUGCUCAUCAAUAGAUUGAGGUCCUGGACAGAUGGAAAACUCAAUAUGAAAGUGUGCUGAACCACAUACCUGCUGAUGACUGUUCAGAGCUACAUGACCUUGCAAACUGCACAGCUGCAGACCCAGGGGCAAACACAGAUCCUCUGUCAGUUGAGGAAGUAUAAAAGGCCAUCCAAAAGUUAUGGAAUGGACAUGCUGCUGGACCUGAUAAUGUUCCACCCAAACUGUUCAAAGAUGCCUUGAAACCAGGGAACAUUGGCCUGCAUCAACAGUUCUUAAAAGCAUGGGCAUCAGAAAUCCCGAGAAGAAGAUUCAGAAGAUGGAGUGGGAUUUAAUGAGAGCGGAGCAAGGCCUCUUAGUGCAACAGAAACUGUAAGAGCAAGUACUAUUCUACAGCCAGAGACUUUUCUAGACACCUUACAGCCGAUCUCUUUACUCGUGAUUUUGUUACAAGAUCCCCAUUUUUGGAAAGAGGCUGUUUUCAAGACCAGUAUGAGAUUAGUAACUUGUGUUGUCUUCUCUGAAUGCAUAGGUACUAUUCUGAUCAUAGAUACUAUGAAAAACAUAAGAUAGAUAGCUACGAUCCAUUUGUGAGACAUAUAGGAAUGAAUAGUUUGAUAAUUGCAAAAUAUGGUUUUAGAUCCAAGGUAUUAGUCCAAAUCCAAGUUCAGUUAACGUCAAUGGAAAACUGUGAGGGGCUGAUUGGGCCUUUCAGAAUAAAAGGCUGUUACAAUCUGGUUAUAACUUCUAUACUUUUAAUUUUAUCUGUUUGUUAAAACAUUUAUAAGUUGCAGAUUGUCUAACUUUUGGGAAUCAGAUGUUGCAGCACAAGUUUUUAAGAAAUAUGAUAGUGUUUUGAGGAGAUUUUAAUAUCCAUUGUCCAUUAAUUCAUACAGUUUCCCCUGCACUACCCUUGAACUGAGAUUGUCACUCUAUGAUAGAACAUUGUGUAUUCAAAUGUUUUUUUUGUUCAACUCUGCCAAAAUGAAAUUGAAUAACCUGGAUAUUUUCUGAGCAUAGUACUAGACAAUAAAUGUACCAUAUUGUAUCUGAACAUGUAAAGAGGCAGGCUCAUUUAAUGGGCAGUGAGGAAGAGCUCUUUGAAAGAUCCAUGGAAAAAUCUGUAAUGAUUGCAUAAAAGAGAGGAAGGUUCAACUUUAUAUUUAAACUCAGUUGCUGUUAUGAUGAUCAACCCAGUUUUCUGUGCUGUUUAAAAACAUUUUUUUUUACUGUUCAAAUGCAGAGUUUGAUAUGUUACAAACUAUCAAGCUGAUGAUAUUCAUGGGCCUUUGAAUCUCAAAUUCUUCUAUGCUUCCUUUUGAAUUUUGUGUUAAGUCAGGUCUUAGCAGAAAAGGGAAGAAAUCACGGAUAAUUAAAGCUUAAAAUAUUCUCAUUUCAUGGUGUGGCUAACAAGUGAAACUACAAGUAAUGAUGUAAUCUAACAUGUCAAAAAAGAAAAUGAAAAGAGGAGACAGAAGGCAGGACAGAGCCAAGGGAUGCAAUGUGCCAUGUUAUCUUCUAAUUAACUAACUGAUCCUUUAAACUGUCAAACUCAGCAAGGAACUUCAUGGCCUGGCUUCUUAUUAAUAUUCAUAUUAGGGCACUGGAAGCUAUGAUUUCAAUCCUACUGUUUAUAGUUAAACAUUUUUAUUUUAAAUUCCUGGCUAACCAAGGUCUCAACAGCUUCACAUUCAUAGGGAAAUGAAGGCAGGCCACCCUGAAUUGUAUAAUCCACUGCUGGGGAAAAUUCUCUGAGGAUGCAUAUUGAUUUCUGAAUUAUUAAGGGAGCUUGUAUAUUGAAAAAACAAUUAUUUUUCUUUUUGCUAUAAGCAGCCACGUUGUUAAUCACAUUGAGCUCUGCAUUGUUAAAUAAAAGAAA